GACGAACGCUGGCGGCGUGCUUAACACAUGCAAGUCGAACGGUAAGGCCUUCGGGUACACGAGUGGCGAACGGGUGAGUAACACGUGGGUGAUCUGCCCCCUACUCUGGGAUAAGCCUGGGAAACUGGGUCUAAUACCGGAUAUGACCUCCCUCUGCAUGGUUGGUGGUGGAAAGUUUUUUCGGUAGGGGAUGAGCCCGCGGCCUAUCAGCUUGUUGGUGGGGUAAUGGCCUACCAAGGCGACGACGGGUAGCCGGCCUGAGAGGGCGACCGGCAACACUGGGACUGAGACACGGCCCAGACUCCUACGGGAGGCAGCAGUGGGGAAUAUUGCACAAUGGGCGAAAGCCUGAUGCAGUGACGCCGCGUGGGGGAUGACGGCCUACGGGUUGUAAACCCCUUUCAGUCGGGACGAAGCGAGAGUGACGGUACCGAUAGAAGAAGCACCGGCCAACUACGUGCCAGCCGCCGCAGUAACAC
rnacentral:rRNA from 1 species